CAAAAUGACAGAAACAAGUACCUGCACAGGCUCUGUCUAAACCACAUAUUUUGCUAAUGUAGUUUGUCAUUAUCAGAAAGAAUGCAAUAAUUUGCUAGCUAUUACAGCGGUUUCCUGAAAGCCCUCGAGACACUAUGGUGACGUAAUGGGUGGCGUCCUGGGGGCGAGCCAAACCUGCGCACGGAGAGAAGAAUCUGGCGCGGGAUAAGGAUCGGCUAUAAAGGAGAAAAAAAAAGGUAUCCAAGAACAAUUGCAGUUUUUAUGUGCGUUAAAGGAAAAUCACAUCGGAAUGGCUUCAGUCUAAAUACGAUAUUACUUGUAUAGGAGAUGGAAACGUUGGUUUAAAGAUAAAAAAAGUAGAUAUUUUUAGUCGGGCUACCUGUGGUAGGCCGACUUGAGAUUUAGGUUUUUUCCGUUUUUUUCCUCCGCCACAUAAUUGAAAAAUUGCGCAACAAUAUCCUUAUAUGGCAAAGCCCGAAGCCACGUGCGUCAUACGCUUCCAACUUUCUAUCGCUACUUUCCAGCUUUCUUGGAUGCAUCAAAUGACUGUGAUAUAUUAGGAAAAGCUGCGCAGUUAUCUUUAAUUCACUAUCAUGGAACUAGAUCUCGAUACGCAAAGUUUGUUUUGUUUGGUAACCAUCUCACUCGCGUUGUAAGAAGACGAAGCAGAGAACCAAGUGGGAUUCCAAAGAAACAGCUUGCACGUGUUUUUCAUUAUCUGUAAAGCAGAUACAUAAGAAGACUUGUUC